AAGGACAGUGGCAGAAGGAGAGGAAACAGCAAAUCUCCAGCUAAAGGGCAAAAGGAGAUAUCGACCAUAUUUUCAAAAGUCAAGUCUGCCCAACUGCCAAGUUAAGGCCCUGUGUACCAAGAGAGAAGUUAUUCUAUGAAACAUACACGUGUCACCUGAGACUCUCUUUCUGGAAAUGCUAUCUUCUAUGACAUGAGCAUCUGCGACAUGGAUUUGCCAUUUCUCCAAGGAACUUGGGCUCCUUUCAGGAGGGAACAGAUUUCAUCUUGAAAUCUGUUUCUGAGGGGGAGGCAUGGUGGCUUUGAUCUCUGCUGCUGCUGCUGCUGCUGCUGCUGCUGCUGCUGAUGAUGAUGAUGAUGAUGAUGAUGAUGAUGAUGAUGAUAAUCAGUGUCUGGGGAGCAGCUGAAACUGCAGGACACCAACAGCCUAGAAACACCAAGAUAAGACCGUGAACCCUGCAGCCAUAAUCACACGUCCGUGUCAUUGGCCACAACAGAAUGACAGAGCCAGCUUUCAAUCAAGUAGGACAGCAUAUAUAAAACAAUGCUUUACUGGUAUCCACACCCAGAAGAUGGUCCUGGACCUGGGCCCUAUGAGGUGGGACUGCGUGAGGCCAACUGAAGGCGGAGUUUUUGUGCCCAUGGGACUCGAUGCUGGGGUUGUCUGCAUUGUUCUAACGCAGUGGUACAAAGGCGGCAGCUGUCGGAGUUCCAGAGAGAGCCCUGGUUAAAGACAGAGGACACUGCAGGAGGAAGCUAAGACACGUGCCAGUGGGUGGCACCCAGGGCAGCUGAGCUUGCACUCUUGCGUUCUCCCUAGACUACCCUCUUACUCUCUCCCUCACUUAUGGUCCGGCUCCCAAGUCCGAAGCAGAUUUAUGGGCACAUCAGAAAACACAGAUCACCAAACAGUAACUUAAAAAGACGGAGCGUUCAUGUAGUGAGAGGACACGCCUGCAGUGGCCACCUUCAUGUACCCAACAGUUCCUAACCAAGGGGACAAGAGAACAUCUCUUCUGCCCAGAGACUGGGUUAGUGAGGGUGUCUGAUCCACCCUGACCUCUCCAGAUUGUCUAGAUGGCAAGACCAAAACAACUUGCCAGUUUGCAAAAGGGCCACGUUGGACUGGCUCCCAUUUGGAUCCCAGGCUAGUGAUAGUUAAUUUGUGGCAGCCAUGAUCUCAGGCUCCCCAGACUUCUAAGUCUACCAGGGGCUCUCUGUUGAAGGCUCCCUCGGCAGCUAAGUCUUAGGGCUUUUCCUGAACCCUUGGCCCUGAGUCUGGGGUCUCCCAAGGGUCUCACUGGGACCUCCAGAAUGUUACAGAGUUUGAGACAGAUCACCAGGGAAAGAUCCCCAAACAAAACAAAAUUUAAGUUUAAAAGACAAAAAAAAAAACAACAAGUUUAUUUUCCUAAUAGCAAUAUUGGGACAGCCUCUUUGCCAUAUGACAGCUGCUGCAAAAGGAAAAGACUGUGGAGGGAGUUUUUAAAGGAACAAACUACAGAUGUCUGAACGCUGGGGACUUUUGUUUGUUUGUUUUUCGAGACAGGUUUUCUCUGUGUGGCCUUGGCUGUCCUGAACUCACUUUGUAGACCAGGCUGGCCUUGAACUCACAGAGAUAAACCUGCCUCUGCCCUCUGAGUGCUGGGAUUAAAGGCGUGGGCCUCUGGGUACUUUUGUUACCUGAGGCAUUAUCUUAUUUUUUUUUCUUCUGAGCAAGCAGUGGUAGAGUCUGAUAGUUAACAUUACAUUUAAGGUUUUAAUAACUAUUAUAUAUGUGUGUGUGUGUGUAUUCCAAAAUGCCUCUAGCAUGUCAACCCCUAGCUUGUACAGACUAUACCCCGUUAGCUUGCUUCCUGUUUCCUAGAUAUUAAAGACUAUUCUUAAAUUGACUGAUCUUGUCAAAUUUCUGCAAGAUAGUAGGCCAUAAGACUAAUUACUAUUUAUGUUUUUGUAAUCAAGCUUUCUCCGUUCAAAAAGACAAUUACAAGGCCCAUACUUUUAACUUUAUGGUUUUUUGUUUUUGUUUUUGUUUUCUUUAUAA